rnacentral:rRNA from 1 species
GAUGAACGCUGGCGGCGUGCCUAAUACAUGCAAGUCGAGCGAACAGACGAGGAGCUUGCUCCUCUGACGUUAGCGGCGGACGGGUGAGUAACACGGGGAUAACCUACCUAUAAGACUGGGAUAACUUCGGGAAACCGGAGCUAAUACCGGAUAAUAUAUUGAACCGCAUGGUUCAAUAGUGAAAGACGGUUUUGCUGUCACUUAUAGAUGGAUCCGCGCCGCAUUAGCUAGUUGGUAAGGUAACGGCUUACCAAGGCAACGAUGCGUAGCCGACCUGAGAGGGUGAUCGGCCACACUGGAACUGAGACACGGCCCAGACUCCUACGGGAGGAAGCAGUAGGGAAUCUUCCGCAAUGGGCGAAAGCUUGACGGAGCAACGCCGCGUGAGUGAUGAAGGUCUUCGGAUCGUAAAACUCUGUUAUUAGGGAAGAACAAAUGUGUAAGUACCUAUGCACGUCUUGACGGUACCUAAUCAGAAAGCCACGGCUAACUACGUG